UCCCCACUUUUCACUCCUUCCUUCCACUCUGUACUCUACGCUUCACACAUUCCGACCGUAGGCUUGGCCCGGCCGCCACUACCGACCAACCGAAAUCCUGUUGGGCGAUCUUUCCGGUGCAAGGGGCUAGCGGAAGGCAGGGCACCUAUAGAAAAUUAAGAUGCCAGUGGAUGUCCUGUAAAUAUGUCAUUUUCAAGGCUUUGUAGAAGAAGCAAUCUCCUUCCUUGCAUUAAGAAUUUACAACAUACUUAUCCUGAAGCGAGGUAUAUGAGGCGGGCGGGAAAAUAUGGAGAAACAAUGGAGAGGCACAAGAGGCAGGCAAUGAGGAGUUCAUAGAGGUGUUGAAGCAGUUAGAGGGAGCUCUUGGGGAGGAGGAUUACUUCGGUGGUGAAUGCUUCGCGUUUCUUGACAUUAUAGCAAUUGCAAACCAGUUGGUUCGUGGCGUAUGAGAAAAUAGGGGGCUUUAAAGUUGAAGACCACUGUCCCAAAUUAUCGGCUUGGAUCAGGAGGUGCUUGCAACGACAGAGAGUGGUCAAAGUUUUUCCAGGCCCAGAAGAAAUCUAUGAAUUUGUGUUGACUCUGAGGAAGAUGCAAGGCAUCAAAUAGUGAAAUCAAGCAGUCCUUUCCAUCCAGAAGAAGACAGAAGAUAAGGAGAAAAAAAGAGCAGUCCUUUCUUAUAGUGCUUUUUUAUAUAUAGAUCCUCUGUCACCUGUGGGUUAUAUUGUUUUCGUCCUUCCCGAGUGUUUUAGGUCCUCAACUGCUCAGUUACUAGAACUUAGAAGAUUACAAAUAAGGGAAAAUCAUCAUUUUCCUUUUUUCUGAUGCUGUUUGGGGUGGUAAGCUAAUGGAAUAAAGGGAAAUUGAAGAAUUGGCUGAUUUCAUUGUUUUUCCUCCCCUUGGGAGUAGGUCUUGAAGUGGUACGUACAGGGCCUACUUAGAUUGGAUGGAAUAGAGUUAAGACCCAAGACACUUGUAACUUACUAGUAAGAAAAA